rnacentral:rRNA from 1 species
UGAACGCUGGCGGCAGGCCUAACACAUGCAAGUCGAACGGUAACAGGAAGCAGCUUGCUGCUUCGCUGACGAGUGGCGGACGGGUGAGUAAUGUCUGGGAAACUGCCUGAUGGAGGGGGAUAACUACUGGAAACGGUAGCUAAUACCGCAUAACGUCGCAAGACCAAAGAGGGGGACCUUCGGGCCUCUUGCCAUCGGAUGUGCCCAGAUGGGAUUAGCUAGUAGGUGGGGUAACGGCUCACCUAGGCGACGAUCCCUAGCUGGUCUGAGAGGAUGACCAGCCACACUGGAACUGAGACACGGUCCAGACUCCUACGGGAGGCAGCAGUGGGGAAUAUUGCACAAUGGGCGCAAGCCUGAUGCAGCCAUGCCGCGUGUAUGAAGAAGGCCUUCGGGUUGUAAAGUACUUUCAGCGGGGAGGAAGGUGUUGAGGUUAAUAACCUCAGCAAUUGACGUUACCCGCAGAAGAAGCACCGGCUAACUCCGUGCCAGCAGCCGCGGUAAUACGGAGGGUGCAAGCGUUAAUCGGAAUUACUGGGCGUAAAGCGCACGCAGGCGGUCUGUCAAGUCGGAUGUGAAAUCCCCGGGCUCAACCUGGGAACUGCAUUCGAAACUGGCAGGCUAGAGUCUUGUAGAGGGGGGUAGAAUUCCAGGUGUAGCGGUGAAUGCGUAGAGAUCUGGAGGAAUACCGGUGGCGAAAGGCGGCCCCCUGGACAAAGACUGACGCUCAGGUGCGAAAGCGUGGGGGAGCAAACAGGAUUAGAUACCCUGGUAGUCCACGCCGUAAACGAUGUCGACUUGGAGGUUGUGCCCUUGAGGCGUGGCUUCCGGAGCUAACGCGUUAAGUCGACCGCCUGGGGAGUACGGCCGCAAGGUUAAAACUCAAAUGAAUUGACGGGGGCCCGCACAAGCGGUGGAGCAUGUGGUUUAAUUCGAUGCAACGCGAAGAACCUUACCUACUCUUGACAUCCAGAGAACUUUCCAGAGAUGGAUUGGUGCCUUCGGGAACUCUGAGACAGGUGCUGCAUGGCUGUCGUCAGCUCGUGUUGUGAAAUGUUGGGUUAAGUCCCGCAACGAGCGCAACCCUUAUCCUUUGUUGCCAGCGGUUCGGCCGGGAACUCAAAGGAGACUGCCAGUGAUAAACUGGAGGAAGGUGGGGAUGACGUCAAGUCAUCAUGGCCCUUACGAGUAGGGCUACACACGUGCUACAAUGGCGCAUACAAAGAGAAGCGACCUCGCGAGAGCAAGCGGACCUCAUAAAGUGCGUCGUAGUCCGGAUUGGAGUCUGCAACUCGACUCCAUGAAGUCGGAAUCGCUAGUAAUCGUGGAUCAGAAUGCCACGGUGAAUACGUUCCCGGGCCUUGUACUCACCGC